AACAGGAUUAGAUACCCUGGUAGUCCACGCCGUAAACGAUGUCGACUUGGAGGUUGUGCCCUUGAGGCGUGGCUUCCGGAGCUAACGCGUUAAGUCGACCGCCUGGGGAGUACGGCCGCAAGGUUAAAACUCAAAUGAAUUGACGGGGGCCCGCACAAGCGGUGGAGCAUGUGGUUUAAUUCGAUGCAACGCGAAGAACCUUACCUACUCUUGACAUCCAGAGAACUUAGCAGAGAUGCUUUGGUGCCUUCGGGAACUCUGAGACAGGUGCUGCAUGGCUGUCGUCAGCUCGUGUUGUGAAAUGUUGGGUUAAGUCCCGCAACGAGCGCAACCCUUAUCCUUUGUUGCCAGCGGUUAGGCCGGGAACUCAAAGGAGACUGCCAGUGAUAAACUGGAGGAAGGUGGGGAUGACGUCAAGUCAUCAUGGCCCUUACGAGUAGGGCUACACACGUGCUACAAUGGCGCAUACAAAGAGAAGCGACCUCGCGAGAGCAAGCGGACCUCAUAAAGUAUGUCGUAGUCCGGAUUGGAGUCUGCAACUCGACUCCAUGAAGUCGGAAUCGCUAGUAAUCGUGGAUCAGAAUGCCACGGUGAAUACGUUCCCGGGCCUUGUACACACCGCCCGUCACACCAUGGGAGUGGGUUGCAAAAGAAGUAGGUAGCUUAACCUUCGGGAGGGCGCUUACCACUUUGUGAUUCAUGACUGGGGUGAAGUCGUAACAAGGUAACC
rnacentral:rRNA from 1 species